UACGUAGGUGGCGAGCGUUGUCCGGAUUUACUGGGCGUAAAGGGAGCGUAGGCGGACUUUUACGUGAGAUGUGAAAUACUCGGGCUCAACUUGAGUGCUGCAUUUCAAACUGGAAGUCUAGAGUGCAGGAGAGGAGAAUGGAAUUCCUAGUGUAGCGGUGAAAUGCGUAGAGAUUAGGAAGAACACCAGUGGCGAAGGCGAUUCUCUGGACUGUAACUGACGCUGAGGCUCGAAAGCGUGGGGAGCAAACAGG
rnacentral:rRNA from 1 species